rnacentral:rRNA from 1 species
GACGAACGCUGGCGGCGUGCUUAACACAUGCAAGUCGAACGGAAAGGCCCUGCUUUUGUGGGUUGCUCGAGUGGCGAACGGGUGAGUAACACGUGAGUAACCUGCCCUUGACUUUGGGAUAACUUCAGGAAACUGGGGCUAAUACCGGAUAGGAGCUCCUGCUGCAUGGUGGGGGUUGGAAAGUUUCGGCGGUUGGGGAUGGACUCGCGGCUUAUCAGCUUGUUGGUGGGGUAGUGGCUUACCAAGGCUUUGACGGGUAGCCGGCCUGAGAGGGUGACCGGCCACCAUGGGACUGAGAUACGGCCCAGACUCCUACGGGAGGCAGCAGUGGGAAAUAUUGCACAAUGGGCGGAAGCGUGAUGCAGCAGCGCCGCGUGCGGGAUGACGGCCUUCGGGUUGUAAACCGCUUUCGCCUGUGACGAAGCAUGAGUGACGGUAAUGGGUAAAGAAGCACCGGCUAACUACGUG